rnacentral:rRNA from 1 species
GACGAACGCUGGCGGCGUGCUUAACACAUGCCAGUCGAACGGAAAGGCCCUGCUUUUGUGGGGUGCUCGAGUGGCGAACGGGUGAGUAACACGUGAGUAACCUGCCCUUGACUUUGGGAUAACUUCAGGAAACUGGGGCUAAUACCGGAUAGGAGCUCCUGCUGCAUGGUGGGGGUUGGAAAGUUUCGGCGGUUGGGGAUGGACUCGCGGCUUAUCAGCUUGUUGGUGGGGUAGUGGCUUACCAAGGCUUUGACGGGUAGCCGGCCUGAGAGGGUGACCGGCCACAUUGGGCCUGAGAUACGGCCCAGACUCCUACGGGAGGCAGCAGUGGGGAAUAUUGCACAAUGGGCGGAAGCCUGAUGCAGCAACGCCGCGUGCGGGAUGACGGCCUUCGGGUUGUAAACCGCUUUCGCAUGUGACGAAGCGUGAGUGACGGUAAUGGGUAAAGAAGCACCGGCUAACUACGUG